UUAAAUAUUUACAUGGAAUGAUUUUGCUAAUUCUGGAAGUUUUAGAUUUCUUGAAAUAGGUUCUUCGGUAAAUAUUUUAAAGAAAAAAAAGCUUUGUUCGUAGGGAAAAUAUAUUAGUCCUGGACUUUUUUGUUCUCUCAAAAUUUUCCGUCCCAAAGACAAAACCUAGCAUUAAUAUCCUCUUUUUCUCUAUUUUUCUGCAGUCCGCCUUCUUGGUUUUUGAUCGAUUUGUUAUUGUUUGAUAUUUAGGUGUAUGGUUUAGAAGAACAAACACUAAAAAUCGAUGAUAUAUCCAUGCUUCGAUUUAUAACAAGAUGAUGCUUCGAUGUGCCAUUGGUUUUCUGGGAUAAAUGUAUCCCGUGCUUGGAAAUCAUUACAUAAAUGGGUCUGGAGGGUAUAAAAGAGCACCAUUAAUUAAUAACAAGAUAAAACACAAGCAAGGUAAGAGAAUCUAAAUGUAACUUGGCAAGUAAUACAUACAGGCAACUAAGUAUGUUUCAAAAUGUCUCAUAUGCGUGCAUUUGCACUAAACAUAUACUUAUAUUAAUUAGAGAAAACAAUAACCUUUCCUGCAUAUCCAUAUAAUACAUGCUUCCAAUACUGUCUCCAUAUACAACUUAUCACUUCAGUUUCUUGAGAGUAUUUGUUCAAACAAUUCUUGCUUCAAAAAUGUAGUGGCUAAAAAUGUAGAGUAUGGUAUGCUUGAAAUGGAUGACGUAUCUAUUGGGGGUUCGUUAAUUUGACACAUGGAAUUCAGAUUGAGCUAAAAAGAAAAAUGCUAGAAUAAGGCUUUACAUGGCCCCGCUAACCAGUGCUUGCCUACAAGGAUACUUUUUGAGCUUUCCUGCCUGCGUACCUUUUAAGUGCUGAAACUUCUUUUAUCUUAGAGAGCCGAUCUGAGUAGGAUGGUGAUCAGGCGGCUAGGGUUUUGGUUAUCUUUUUUUUUUCAGAGAGGAAAGAGUUUUUUUUAGUAAUGACAAGUAUUAUAUUGCGCAUAUCAUGUUAAAAGUAUUAUAUUGCGCAUAUCGUGUCUAAGCCACAUUCACCCACUUUUCUUCAAAGGCCCUACAUAUCAUAUAUGAUAGAUCCGCUGUAACAUGUUGUUUGUUAUUUUUGGGUUGCCUUCAACUUUUUCGGUGUGUAUAAUUGAAUCAAUAUUUUGUCAA